rnacentral:rRNA from 1 species
AACGAACGCUGGCGGCAGGCUUAACACAUGCAAGUCGAACGCAUCGCAAGAUGAGUGGCAGACGGGUGAGUAACGCGUGGGAACAUACCCUUUUCUACGGAAUAGCUCUGGGAAACUGGAAUUAAUACCGUAUACGCCCUACGGGGGAAAGAUUUAUCGGGGAAGGAUUGGCCCGCGUUGGAUUAGCUAGUUGGUGGGGUAAAGGCCUACCAAGGCGACGAUCCAUAGCUGGUCUGAGAGGAUGAUCAGCCACAUUGGGACUGAGACACGGCCCAAACUCCUACGGGAGGCAGCAGUGGGGAAGAUUGGACAAUGGGCGCAAGCCUGAUCCAGCCAUGCCGCGUGAGUGAUGAAGGCCUUAGGGUUGUAAAGCUCUUUCACCGAUGAAGAUAAUGACGGUAGUCGGAGAAGAAGCCCCGGCUAACUUCGUGCCAGCCGCCGCGUAAAAC